AUUGAACGCUGGCGGCAUGCCUUACACAUGCAAGUCGAACGGUGACAGGUCUUCGGAUGCUGACGAGUGGCGAACGGGUGAGUAAUACAUCGGAACGUGCCUAGUAGUGGGGGAUAACUACUCGAAAGAGUGGCUAAUACCGCAUGAGAUCUACGGAUGAAAGCAGGGGAUCGCAAGACCUUGUGCUACUAGAGCGGCCGAUGGCAGAUUAGGUAGUUGGUGGGAUAAAAGCUUACCAAGCCGACGAUCUGUAGCUGGUCUGAGAGGACGAUCAGCCACACUGGGGCUGAGACACGGCCCAGACUCCUACGGGAGGCAGCAGUGGGGAAUUUUGGACAAUGGGCGAAAGCCUGAUCCAGCAAUGCCGCGUGCAGGAUGAAGGCCUUCGGGUUGUAAACUGCUUUUGUACGGAACGAAAAGCCCCGGGUUAAUACCCUGGGGUCAUGACGGUACCGUAAGAAUAAGCACCGGCUAACUACGUGCCAGCCGCCGCGGUAA
rnacentral:rRNA from 1 species